AGAGUUUGAUCCUGGCUCAGGAUGAACGCUGGCGGCGUGCGUAAUACAUGCAAGUCGAGCGAACCACUUCGGUGGUGAGCGGCGAACGGGUGAGUAACACGUAGGUGAUCUGCCCAUCAGACGGGGACAACGAUUGGAAACGAUCGCUAAUACCGGAUAGGACGAAAGUUUAAAGGUGCUUCUGGCACCGCUGAUGGAUGAGCCUGCGGCGCAUUAGCUAGUUGGUAGGGUAAAGGCCUACCAAGGCGACGAUGCGUAGCCGACCUGAGAGGGUGAACGGCCACACUGGGACUGAGACACGGCCCAGACUCCUACGGGAGGCAGCAGUAGGGAAUCUUCGGCAAUGGGCGAAAGCCUGACCGAGCAACGCCGCGUGAAUGAUGAAGGCCUUCGGGUUGUAAAAUUCUGUUAUAAGGGAAGAACGACUUUAGUAGGAAAUGGCUAGAGUGUGACGGUACCUUAUGAGAAAGCCACGGCUAACUACGUGCCAGCAGCCGCGGUAAUACGUAGGUGGCGAGCGUUAUCCGGAAUUAUUGGGCGUAAAGAGCGCGCAGGUGGUUGAUUAAGUCUGAUGUGAAAGCCCACGGCUUAACCGUGGAGGGUCAUUGGAAACUGGUCGACUUGAGUGCAGAAGAGGGAAGUGGAAUUCCAUGUGUAGCGGUGAAAUGCGUAGAGAUAUGGAGGAACACCAGUGGCGAAGGCGGCUUCCUGGUCUGUAACUGACACUGAGGCGCGAAAGCGUGGGGAGCAAACAGGAUUAGAUACCCUGGUAGUCCACGCCGUAAACGAUGAGUGCUAAGUGUUGGGGGUCGAACCUCAGUGCUGAAGUUAACGCAUUAAGCACUCCGCCUGGGGAGUACGGUCGCAAGACUGAAACUCAAAGGAAUUGACGG
rnacentral:rRNA from 1 species